CUGCUGCCUCGCCUACAGAUUUCGGUGUAAGCAGCUGAACACUUGAGUGUAACUUAUUCUGCCUUUCUGUAACAGUAUAAUUCAACUAUGCUAUCAGUCAGGACAACACAAUGGGACUACAUAUAUGUCGGCUUUAUUGAUGCAGAUGGCAACUCCGGAAUGGUAAAGAAAGGAUCAUCUACUGCCAACAAUUUAAACAUGCAUCAAUUAAUUGGCCUUGAAUGGUGCUACUCCAGCUAUCUGGCAUGAAUAUAAUUCUCCUUUAAUCGGAAAGAUUUGUACAAACAAAGUGGUUGAACAGCGCGCUUGAUCCUUGUAGCACUGUCAUCAUGCUUGCGUCUGUUGAUAUUCCAGAGUAUCUUGUUAGGCUGAGGUAUGAAAAAG